GCUGGCGGCAGGCUUAACACAUGCAAGUCGAGCGGGGAAAGGUAGCUUGCUACCUGACCUAGCGGCGGACGGGUGAGUAAUGCUUAGGAAUCUGCCUAUUAGUGGGGGACAACAUUCCGAAAGGAAUGCUAAUACCGCAUACGCCCUACGGGGGAAAGCAGGGGAUCUUCGGACCUUGCGCUAAUAGAUGAGCCUAAGUCAGAUUAGCUAGUUGGUGGGGUAAAGGCCUACCAAGGCGACGAUCUGUAGCGGGUCUGAGAGGAUGAUCCGCCACACUGGGACUGAGACACGGCCCAGACUCCUACGGGAGGCAGCAGUGGGGAAUAUUGGACAAUGGGCGAAAGCCUGAUCCAGCCAUGCCGCGUGUGUGAAGAAGGCCUUUUGGUUGUAAAGCACUUUAAGCGAGGAGGAGGCUACUUAGAUUAAUACUCUAGGAUAGUGGACGUUACUCGCAGAAUAAGCACCGGCUAACUCUGUGCCAGCAGCCGCGGUAAUACAGAGGGUGCGAGCGUUAAUCGGAUUUACUGGGCGUAAAGCGUGCGUAGGCGGCUUUUUAAGUCGGAUGUGAAAUCCCUGAGCUUAACUUAGGAAUUGCAUUCGAUACUGGGAAGCUAGAGUAUGGGAGAGGAUGGUAGAAUUCCAGGUGUAGCGGUGAAAUGCGUAGAGAUCUGGAGGAAUACCGAUGGCGAAGGCAGCCAUCUGGCCUAAUACUGGCGCUGAGGUACGAAAGCAUGGGGAGCAAACAGGAUUAGAUACCCUGGUAGUCCAUGCCGUAAACGAUGUCUACUAGCCGUUGGGGCCUUUGAGGCUUUAGUGGCGCAGCUAACGCGAUAAGUAGACCGCCUGGGGAGUACGGUCGCAAGACUAAAACUCAAAUGAAUUGACGGGGGCCCGCACAAGCGGUGGAGCAUGUGGUUUAAUUCGAUGCAACGCGAAGAACCUUACCUGGUCUUGACAUAGUAAGAACUUUCCAGAGAUGGAUUGGUGCCUUCGGGAACUUACAUACAGGUGCUGCAUGGCUGUCGUCAGUUCGUGUCGUGAGAUGUUGGGUUAAGUCCCGCAACGAGCGCAACCCUUUUCCUUAUUUGCCAGCGGGUUAAGCCGGGAACUUUAAGGAUACUGCCAGUGACAAACUGGAGGAAGGCGGGGACGACGUCAAGUCAUCAUGGCCCUUACGACCAGGGCUACACACGUGCUACAAUGGUCGGUACAAAGGGUUGCUACCUAGCGAUAGGAUGCUAAUCUCAAAAAGCCGAUCGUAGUCCGGAUUGGAGUCUGCAACUCGACUCCAUGAAGUCGGAAUCGCUAGUAAUCGCGGAUCAGAAUGCCGCGGUGAAUACGUUCCCGGGCCUUGUACACACCGCCCGUCACACCAUGGGAAUUUGUUGCACCAGAAGUAGGUAGUCUAACCGCAAGGAGGACGCUUACCACGGUGUGGCCGAUGACUGGGGUGAAGU
rnacentral:rRNA from 1 species